GUGCCGCUGGGUGCCAAAAUUGUAGAGGAGGGACGUCCCCCUUUUCAGAAGUAUCUCGGCCAAUAAAGGCGGAAGGGAUGAUCGGGUUAGCACUCGCCGUUCUGCAGCCCCUCACGGAUGAAGGCAUCUGGAUACUGAACGUGCACAGCUGCUAACAAACCCAACCUUGGAGCCAGCGGCCCUGCGUGCCUUCUGAAGGAAACACAAAGCCCCAUGAGCUUGCCUUGCCAGGCAUGUGAAGGUCAUUUGCUAUCCUGCAAAUGUGGACUGUGGCAGAGAAAAUAUUUCAGAGUGCGUGAUGCGUAGGGUUCCCUGGUGAUCCACGCGAGCUUUGAUGGGAGAAGGUUUAGGAUCCCAGUUUCACAGUUGCCGGAAGUCCCUCCCAGAACCAACCACUUACAGGAGCUGUCGGUCGUCUUGGAGACGGCAGGUGAUGGGAGAGGAUGGCCAGCGAGGUCACAGCGGGAACUGGGCAAAGCUGUGGACAGGGAGAGACCGUGCCCUUUGACCCUGCCUGACAGCCGGUUCAGCCAUGCCCAGCCAGCGUAGGAGACCCAAGGUCGCCGGUCCUGGAUGAAACCCCAUUGGCUCCACCCCUCAGGGUGCGAAGGGCCCAUUAGAAGCCGUCUAGGCCCAAGUGGCCUGACUCCGCAGACGGGGAAAGUAAGAGCCAAAGAGGAGGGCUUUGCCCGGACACGACAGCUGCGGGCCCCACACCCCAGGCCAGCCCACAGGAUGCCCAGCGCAGCACCCACACUCCAGCCAGCCAGGCCCAGACCUCCCUCCCGGGCUCGUCGCCAGGGCCAGCAGCCUUACCUCCAGGGGCCCUCAGAUGAAGAAACAAGGAUGCCAAGACAGCCAAGGCCUGCAGUAACAAAUUACCACCGACAGGCUUAACGACCCCGACCCCGGAUGUGUGCUCCCUCACAGCUCCGGAAGCCAGCAGCCCAAAAUGCAAGCGCCAAAGGGGCCACGUUCCCUCUGAAGGAUCUGAGAGAUCCUUCCCUGCCUCUUCCAGCCUCCAGGGACUCCUGGUGUUUCUUGGCUCAUGAAUACAUAAC